rnacentral:rRNA from 1 species
CAGUCGCCGCGGUAAUACGAAGGGUGCAAGCGUUACUCGGAAUUACUGGGCGUAAAGCGUGCGUAGGUGGUGGUUUAAGUCCGUUGUGAAAGCCCUGGGCUCAACCUGGGAAUUGCAGUGGAUACUGGGUCACUAGAGUGUGGUAGAGGAUAGUGGAAUUUCCGGUGUAGCGGUGAAAUGCGUAGAUAUAGGAAGGAACACCAGUGGCGAAGGCGACUACCUGGACUGAUACUGACACUGAGGUGCGAAAGCGUGGGGAGCAAACAGGAUUAGAUACCCCUGUAGUCCCUGUCUCUUAUAC